rnacentral:rRNA from 1 species
GAUGAACGCUGGCGGCGUGCCUAAUACAUGCCAGUCGAGCGAACAGACGAGGAGCUUGCUCCUCUGACGUUAGCGGCGGACGGGUGAGUAACACGUGGAUAACCUACCUAUAAGACUGGGAUAACUUCGGGAAACCGGAGCUAAUACCGGAUAAUAUAUUGAACCGCAUGGUUCAAUAGUGAAAGACGGUUUUGCUGUCACUUAUAGAUGGAUCCGCGCCGCAUUAGCUAGUUGGUAAGGUAACGGCUUACCAAGGCAACGAUGCGUAGCCGACCUGAGAGGGUGAUCGGCCACCCUGGAAGUGGGACACGGUCCAGACUCCUGCGGGACGGAGCAGUAGGGAAUCUUCCGCAGUGGGCGAAAACCUGACGGAGCAACGCCGCGUGAGUGAUGAAGGUCUUCGGAUCGUAAAACUCUGUUAUUAGGGAAGAACAAAUGUGUACGUAACUAUGCACGUCUUGACGGUACCUAGUCAGAAAGCCACGGCUAACUACGUG